AGCGGGACCGAAGGGUGGUCACAUACCCGUGCUUUGUGUCCUUUUACUAGAGGACCCUGGCGGUGAUGAGGACCAGGAAUUCUAACUCAGUUAAAAUACAAGAUCACAAACCAAGGCUGAGCACAUGGCCACACACCCACUGCAAUGGCCACAUACCCGCUGCAGAGUGAAUUUGAGUCUCAGGAAGAAAUAGGAUUAGAAGUUUUUUUCAGGGGAAGAUGGGAAAAGGCAACCAAGCAAAGGAAAUGGAUCUUCUCACCCUGGGGAGAAGCCAAGCAUGAUUUGCCAGCCAGAGGACACCACAGCCGCUGCCCCCUGGAAAGAGACCAGCAAUGUUCUGACUGGCUUCCCGGCUUUGAUCUCGUUAGUUCAGCACCGGCCCUGCUGGACCCAGCAAGCUGGAGGAGCUUCCCCUAAACCAAGCCAUGCCAGGCUCCUUGCGAUGGGAGCACAUGGGCAGCACUGAGGUCUCCGAUGGUCAGAACUGUUCAACUCCUAGCCUGACAUUCAAAUCCGGCCAGGCCCAGCUCUCCAGGGACAGCUAUCUUCUGAGAUGAUGUGGGUGUGGUGUUGGAGAUGGAGUGAAGUGCAGGUGAGCCAUAAUACCCUCCUGACCUGCACAGGGCUUGUUAGUCACCCAUCCCUGAUUUGUUU
rnacentral:lncRNA from 1 species